rfam:Mus musculus chromosome 16, GRC primary reference assembly.
AUGGCUCAGUGGUUAAGAGCACUGGAUGCUUUUCCAGAGGUCCUGAGUUCAAUUCCCAGU